UACGGGGGAGGCAAGCGUUAUCCGGAAUUAUUGGGCGUAAAGCGUCCGCAGGUGGUCAGCCAAGUCUGCUGUCAAAUCAGGUUGCUUAACGACCUAAAGGCGGUGGAAACUGGCAGACUAGAGAGCAGUAGGGGUAGCAGGAAUUCCCAGUGUAGCGGUGAAAUGCGUAGAGAUUGGGAAGAACAUCGGUGGCGAAAGCGUGCUACUGGGCUGUAUCUGACACUCAGGGACGAAAGCUAGGGGAGCGAAAGGGAUUAGAUACCCCUGUAGUCCUAGCCGUAAACGAUGGAUACUAGGCGUGGCUUGUAUCGACCCGAGCCGUGCCGAAGCUAACGCGUUAAGUAUCCCGCCUGGGGAGUACGCACGCAAGUGUG
rnacentral:rRNA from 1 species